AGAUUGAACGCUGGCGGCAUGCCUUACACAUGCAAGUCGAACGGUAGAGUAGCAAUACUCGAGAGUGGCGAACGGGUGAGUAAUAUAUCGGAACGUGCCCAGUCGUGGGGGAUAACGUAGAGAAAUUUACGCUAAUACCGCAUACGAUCUACGGAUGAAAGCGGGGGAUUCGCAAGAACCUCGCGCGAUUGGAGCGGCUGAUAUCAGAUUAGGUUGUUGGUGAGGUAAAAGCUCACCAAGCCGACGAUCUGUAGCUGGUUUGAGAGAACGACCAGCCACACUGGGACUGAGACACGGCCCAGACUCCUACGGGAGGCAGCAGUGGGGAAUUUUGGACAAUGGGCGAAAGCCUGAUCCAGCAAUGCCGCGUGCAGGAAGAAGGCCUUCGGUUGUAAACUGCUUUGUACGGAACGAAACGGUCCUUUCUAAUAAAGAGGACUAAGUAGACGGUAACCGUAAGAAAUAAAGCAACCGGACUAACUAACGU
rnacentral:rRNA from 1 species